GCGAGCGGGGCCGUGGUGCCGCCGCCAUUUUACGCCCUCGCACCUCAGAUGCCCAGCGCCGACGUGGCGCGGGGAAGGAGGUUUCGCACUCCUCAGAUCCUCUCUGAGGACAAUGGAAGCUGUUCAGAAGCCCCCGACAAGGGUUCCCGCCGACCCUAAGCGCGGCGGGGUACGCCGCCCGGGGACAGGCGAAGCGCCGUGCGCAGGGCAGCAGCACCACGGCAGCGAGCAGCUGAGUCCAUAUGGCGGCGCCGCCGCCAUAAAAUGGCCGCUCAUGGUGUGAAGACCGGUCCGUCGCCAAGCCCUCGCCAGACCGUAAGGCUGACCCCCAGCUUCCCUCGCACAACUCCGUGGCUUUUCACUCGCGGCAUUCCCUCCAUAACCUUAACCCCUCAUCUCGUUAGAUUUUAAAACCUUCAAGGUGUUUUAAAUGCUAGUAGCCCUCAGGGGCUCCUCCCCGUCACAGCGCUAUAAGGCAACAUAACCCCGCCUGAUUACCCUCUCUGUAAAAAAUUUCUUCCCGGCGGCUCCGCGUUCAUGCGCCUCGCAUUACCUCCCAGCACCCCAGUACCCUCUGUCCCGGGACGGCGCCCCUUUCUCUUCCCUCCACCUACCAUCAUUCACCAAAGCCGAGGCUGCGCCCACACACCAAAAAAUGAGGCUUUUAAAACAAAAGCAAAAUUAUAUUUUUUGAGAAAAACUGGGGACACCUUAGCCAGAUCCUCAAUGUCACCUGUGAGUGAAACGGAGACCCCCCUGCGGUCGCCUUGUUAAGUAGCCCCAAGUGGAAAGGGGCGGGGAAGAGGCUUACACCAACCGGGGUGGCUUUCUCACAUUCGUUCUCUCCGCCCCUCAUGGAGCUCCCUCGUGUAGCUGCCCAUAUACAUCUGCCCAGAUACAUCCGCCCAGAUACAGCUGCUCCCGUACCUAUGCCCAGAUACACCCUUUCCCGACAUGCUUCAAACGACUGGAGACAAAGGGACGAGGAAAACGUGGUUUCUCUUCGUUGGGAAAUGAGACUAAAUCAUACUGCACACGUCAGAGAGGGUUCUGUGUGUUCAUCCAAGUAGCUGCAGUCCAAAGUGAAUUCAUCUCUCCUGAAGAGUACACAGACAGUACACAGCAUUUGAGAUGAGAAUUCAGAAUUAUUCAAUAUUCAGAAUCAAGAAACAUCUGUGAAAAUGACUGUGGUGCUGCAGUUUGGGUGCUGGACAGAAGAGGGUGCCCUUCAGAUAGCCUGAGAGAGAAAAGACCUUGGCUGUGGACACUGAAAACAGCCGGAGGUCGUCAAACUCCCGGUUCAGCGAGGCUGUGGAAGCCCAUGCAGCCUGCACUGUGUGGCCUGGAGAAGGGCUUGCUUGCACACUCCGAGCUGCUUGGACACUUUAAUAAAGACUGCAUGAACAGCAGGAGUAGUGUUUUGAUGUAGCUGGAAAUCCCGAGUACAGCAUGCUGGGAGUGAGCGAUGCUGUUAUUGUUUCUGCUGCAUUCAGAAGGUGGCUAUAAGCUGAUACAUUUAAUGUUGGCUGUGUGCACCAGAGUCUCUGUACUGUUCAAAUCAAUGCUUUAGAAGAUGGUCACUUAGUCAAGACUGUAUCUCAUAAACCACCUGAGGAAACGAAUCCUGUGCUUGCCUGGCUGCAUGGAAAUAUGAUUUUUGACUCAUACUGCUGGAGUUCCUGAUGCGUAUACUCCUACAGGGGGCAAGUUUGUUGGCUGCAUUGAACAAGCAAAAAUGCUUCCACAUUGUAGAACACUCCCAUAACAUUGAUUCAAGUUUAAUCGGUUACAUGAGGUAGUUCAGAGAGCAGUUACAGCUGUGCAAAGCAUUAGUCAUUGUUAGAAUUUGACUUCGUGUGAUAACCAGGCAAUAAACUCAGCUGUCAAUCUCUGUAGGAAUGAGCCAUUGUGAGAACUUAAAUAUCUGCUGUGAACAUUUCUGUCAAAUAAAUCACAUCUCCUGAGUGGAUGCUUCCACUCUUUUGUCAAGGAAGAAAGACAAUGUUUUCUUUGGUUAGUUCUAGAAAGGCUAAAUAAGCGUUGUAAUGAUUGCAAGCCAACUCUGUCCAUACACAGGAUUAAUGCAAGUGUUCAGGGUGCAAAGAUGUUUUUAAAUCUUGAUUUACAGUGUGUUUUUCAAAUUAACAGAGCACUCAGAGCCCUCAAAUGAUACUCAAUGGGUCAUGUUUGUUUCUCAAACAUAUGCCAUAUAUUUGAAACUGAAUCUAAUGCUUUUAAAUGAACUAAUGAUUAGUGUUUUUAAUAAACAGCCUGAAGUCCAGUGUUAGCUGAUGAAUUGUGAAACAAGAAGAACAUUUACAGGACAUACUACAGUAUAUCAGCUUAGCAGAAUUGAAAUUUCACUUUUUCAAAUGCUGCUUCAGAUAGAAUUGUCUUUUCAGGGCAACUUGCGUUCUCCAGUGGAAUUGAACCAGGGUGCAGAAUAAGCUGCUAUAAUUAUGCAAGCCCCAUCACUAAGAUAAUUACAAGUAUUUUAAUCAUCCUUAAUUCUUAUAUCACAAUAAGAAAACUUCGGUCCAAACUAUGUUUCAUCCAUAAAACUGUUUAAAGCAUGAAAUCUAAAGUGUGUCCGAACAAAUGAAGCACAGCUUCAUCUUGAAUUGGUGAAAACCAUAGUUACAGGUGACCAGAGUUUAUAAUGUAAUGCUACUUUAUUUUUGCUGAAUGAUGUAAAAAUACCUGGAGACAGUGUUUUGUAGCCACAUUUACACAAAUACAUGACAUCAACUCUGAGAAGACCAUUAUGGGCUCUUCAAGAACAGUUACAGAAGCCAAGAGAAAAGUACUUCACCCUUGGAGAAGAAAUACUGGCAUGCACAUGCGUAAUAGGAAGAGCGACACCCUGUCUUUUGGCCAUAAACUCAGCUUCUGCUGGAUCACGUUCCUUGCCUGUUACUGUACAGUCAACACUGAAAAGACUCAGAGAAGUGUGAAGUAGUGUGAUUUUCUUUGUAUGUGUCAUAGAAAACAAAUCAGGAGAUGAAAAUGUAAUGUUUGACUGCUUGUUUUGGUCAUUUUUUUCUUUCCUAAAUACCCUGGAUACUGUCUUCUACAAUGGAAGCAGUUGAACAAAUUGAGUAAGUUUUUGCUGCUGUUUCAGAAGAAUAAUAUAAAGCUACUUGUUUAGUCUGUGUUGUUGAGCAGAAAUUACAUGGCAUACUGACAGCAAAAUAGACUAAUAGUAAUAACAAAUAUAAUUUAUCUCUGCUAUACUUUCAACUGGACUGAACUUUCUCUGCAAGACAGGAGAAUAACUCAUAAAUGUAUUAUUCUGGAGGAAUUAGAGACAAAAUCAAUACACUUUGCUCGUGGUGCACAUCAGUGAGUUGUCAUAACAGUGAUUAUAAGUUCUCCAUCGGUAGUCAGGGUUGGAUGCUCAAGCUGCUCCAAAAGUUUCUCUUGCUUGACAAAACAAGCAUGAGUUGGUACAGGCUGAUGCCAGACUAGCUUUUUAUUUGAAAAGCUGACAGUCAACACUAUAGACUUUGUUACUCAUUUGCCAUUGUUGUUGUAUUAAUGGAUUUCUUCAGUAAAUGGCCAGAAGUAGCCUCUAUCACAGGUCCAUCUGCUUUGGUCAUGACUUUCCAUUAACUCCUUUCAGCAGAGUAGGAAGCUCAGAAAACUAAUGUUCACAUUGUCAGAGAUUCGGAGGUAUGGUGGAGAUGGGGAGGUAAUGUGGGUUGGGAGUUCAGGCUUUUAGUAUAAGUGAGCUCUUGUAGACACAGUGAGAGCAGCCCUGCUGUUUUUUUGAGUGAAGGAUGUAAGGGGUGGAGGAGAGUAAUUGUAGUGUAUGUGAAUCCGUAAUAGACCAGGAUUCACUGAUUCCACUGCUUGUUGAAUGACAAAGUACAAAAUUACACAGAAGCGGCUGUAAUGAUGAGACAGGCGUGAGCCCAAGCCGCAAAUUCAAAUCAGAAAGCAAUCACAGGAUCAGCAAAGGAUAUAGCCAGGCACAGCCAUAUCUGUAAAUGCAACUCAGGCAAGGACUGAUAGCAGGGACCUGAGCUCAAAUGCAACUCUUGAGCCAAGUGCAGAGGCCCCUGAUAAGAUGUCUUACAGCUCUUUCUCAUACUACACUUUUCAAAGCAGUCUGGUUGUAUUAAAGCUGACAUCAAAGAGUGGUAGCCUGGGUGACAGGCCUGGGUGACAGGCAAAGGGAAAAGAGACUACAGUGUUUUUGUGAAUGUGCGGCCUGACAAUACACAGUGGAGUAGCUUUAAGGAUGGGGUUGUUGAUUUGGGGUUUUUUUAAUAGUGGACUUCGGUUCAUAAAUAUGUUGUUUCUGUAGAAAAAAAUGUACAAAGGGCUGAAUUCUGUUAUUAAAGCAACCAUUGAUCCAGCUGUGGUUUCUCAUAUGCAGAUAAAAUUGGCUCGUAUCAUAGUAAGACUUUGAGCUUGUCUAGUAAUUACCUGCCAUACCUCGCUUUGUGUCUGCAGCUCCUCAGUUGGUGACCUGCUGUUUGUUAGACAAAGACCACCUGGUUAUCAGAAAAUCUAGCUAAAGCCACAGCAGAAAAAGCAGAAUUAGAAGGUGGAUGGGUUGCCUUACUCACCAAAAGCAAGCUGUUGAGGGACACCUUGAAGGAGUUGUUUGAAGUAAAUGUGCUGGCUGAACCCUGUGGUACUUCGUGCAGAUGCUUGGACAGAAGCAGGGGUGUAUGAGUGCCCUUGUGUAGACAAGAUGGGAGUUAUAUAUUCAUAGAAGUGUUCAUCAUUGAAUGUUACUGGAGAGAAAGGUCAUUAUGUAGAAAACUGGGGUUUAACACAUGUGGGCUUCAAGCAUUUUAAUUAGACAAAGAACUAGUUUGCUAGCUAAAUAUUUCUUUUCUGAGCUUUGUGCUUUGAUCCUGCAGUACUGUAGGGAAGGAAAAUCUUGGCAAUAGGGGACAGCUCGUUGCAUUCCAUACUUGAUAAAAGGCUACUACUGCUCAAGUGAGCACUAGAAGACAUACAAGGAGGUCUCACAGGAUUUGAAUUGUUCUGGAAAAGGAUUAAAUAUUUGAAAGAUUUUACAACAUCCUAAUUUUUUCUGAUCUCUAGUAACCCAGCCUAAUUGAAAGCUGUAGUAAAGUGAUUAAAAGAUGGAGUCUGCUUUGCCAUUGUCUCGAGCCUGGAGCUAAAAAGCCUUGAUGCCACAGCUAGGCUGCUGUGGGAGCUGAGCUACUUGCAAAAGCUCCAGGAGGCACCUAGCAAGCCAUCAGAAGCAGGUAGAUGAGCAAAAAAGAUAAAAAGUUGUUACAAUCAAGAACAUGGCAAGGACUUACUCUCCCAUAUAAGGUAAGCCAGGCAGAUCUUGCGUGGAGACUGGGGGAACCGGCCAAUGGAUACUCAGGGCCCAUCUCGGUACCAGGCGAACUUUGCUCGUAUACUGGUGAACUGGCCGAUGGACAUCCAGGGGCUAGCACGGCGAGAGUAUUUAAGGCUGUGCUCGGUGACUCCGGGGGGGUGUUUGAGGACUGCUGCAGGAGCUGCUGCCACUCUGUUACCCUGCCAGUUCAGCUUGUUUCUCGGAGGCUACAAGGCAACCAUGGUAGAAGCCCAAUGGAGAUCUACCAGCUUGCAAGCCAGUGGCGCUUCAUGGUGGUGGUAACUCCUGUCCUGUGCUUUUAACAGUUACCCUUAGCUUUUCUUACUUUUAUAUGUCCCUUCUUUCUCUCUGCUCCUUUGUGUUACAAAAUAAAGUUAAGUUGUCAUUUUGGGAUCCAGCAUGUGGGCUCAUUUGGGCCUUAAUCUCACUUACGGGAAUGUUUUAGAACCUGAUUCCCCUAUGCAUCCAAGUGGAUUGGAACAUUAGCUUGUUUGAAGGUUGGAAAGAAAUGUUAUUUAAAAAAAAUAAUAAAUAAUUAUCUGCAACCUUACAUUGGCUCACCAACCACAAACAUUUUUAUUUAUUACUUUGAAUGUAUUCAAGCUGCUCAAAGAAAUGAAGAAAGUGCUGGAUAGUUAUAUUACCGUCAGUAGGAGUCUUCAGUUUCAUUGUCAUGAUUUAAACUGUCAGUAUAACAGAGCAGUUAUAUUGAAUGUGAAAUGAGGCUUAUGAGAAUGCAUGUCUGUGCCUUGUGUUAUACUCACUGGUUCUUGUUUCUCUCAUUGUAUUAGGUUACUCCACCCCCUCACCUCUCGUGGAUCAGCAAUAAUAUGAUUAGCAUGUUGGCAGAGGGGAUUUUCAGAGAAAAACAGAAUGUCCUUUUUUUGAAUGGUGAUAGAUUAGAAUUUCUCUCAAAUGUGGAGGCAUUCUUAAGUUAUUUAGUGUCACAUAAAGCUAAUAAAAUUUUAUGGAAGACAGAUGCAAACCUAUGUAGUUAAAUAAUUGGUUUUUAGGGCUGCUUCAGUGGCAGGUGUUUACCUUAGUUCUGUCACAAACUGUUAUCCUGUGCCCAUCACUCCACUGCGUUACUCUUAGAAGGAACUCAAUAAUAUUGAACCAGUUACAGUUACAAUGAAUAUAUCAUUUCCCAUGAGUAAUUAAUUCUGCCCUUACCAUGUUUCUCUCACUUUGGUUUGAAUUUUUCCAGGUUCAGUUUCCAUUACAUUGCUGUCUUCAAGUUUGUCCCCCCACUACGGAUUUGUGGGGGGUCUACCAUCGGGUGCAUCUGCCUUAGAUUUCUGCUUCAUUCCUGUGGCUGUGCCCAGUCGUGCACACUGCACACAUGUUGCUUCAGUCCCAGCUUGUCUUUUGGAUCAAAGCAGCUGUUUCUCUGUAGGAGAAAACUUGGAUGUGUCUGGAGGCUCUACCUCAGUUGCUGUUCCAGAUGGCAGUAGAGACUGCACUCGAUUUGGCUCCUUGUUCUCUCUCUCUUCCCAGCCCUCCACUGCUAUCCCAACAUCAUCUCAACCCCUACAUGCCCUCAUUGUGUACAGCACAAGCCCUCAGCAUCAUGUUACAAUAACACUGUCCUUACCUUUUUUUUUUUUUUUUUUUUUUUUUUGGCACUUGGAAUGGAAAAAGAUGGGGUUAAAAAAAAAAAGAUGGUUUAGGAUGGCAAGGACAACAGGGGAGACCUGAAAUCGGGCCUGUGUGCAUGAGACACUGCCGUUGUUUGGGCCAAGCAUUCUGCGCGUGAGCGGCUCUGCACCCCUGGCUGGGAGGCUGCCGGGGACUGCGUGCUUGGAGGAGUGGAUGUUGCCUUUGCAUCAAAUGCCCUUCCAUGACAACCAGACAUUUCUACUGAUAUAAAAAUGGGCUGCUUUAAAUGCAUUUAGAAGUUGAUGUGGCCACAACUGUAGUCAGUGGAGGAAAGGGUUUUUUGCAGUUAUGUUGCCACAGCGAGCUGGAACAUGCCCAGGGCAAUGAGGGCUGUGCAGGUGAGGACAGAUCUUGCCCCUACCUUCUGUCUGGCUGUUUUUGUAUGAUGCUGUUUGGAUCAGUAAAAAUGAAGAGUUUUUCACCCUGUAUUUCGUCUAGAUGUGUUUAGCAGUGAACGAAGAAUUUUUUUAAAAGAGAAAAUUGCGAUUUCCUGUCUAUCGUUUCUUCUCCCUCUUAAAUGAAAUGUGCCCUUGAGUGAACAGAAGUGUGACAAGGACGUACCUUGAGUGACAAACAUUGAGCUCUGAUGGCAGGAUGGACUGUUCUGUGUUUCUAAUUAAUGACUUUCCUCUUCUUACAAGUUCUGAAAAGUAUGUAUUUCCUGAACUGAUUUUUUUACAGUUGUGUUUAAAUUUGUGAACAGUGACUCCAUUAUUGAAAAAUUAUAGCUAUGCUCAUCAUCUGUAAGGCUGUUUAAGUAGAAAAGCAUGCUGCAUCAGGUAGAGAUGAAUGCUGUGAUUACUUUUAUAAGAUAAUGGAGCCCUGAGUUUUUUGAGCUGUGUUUGUACAUUAACCUGAAAUGAACUUUCUUGCUCAGUGGUUUCAUUUGUAUCAUCAUUUUCAGUCACUAAACCAUAAAAAAACACUCCAAUUCCCUGAUCAGUUUUAAGCACUUCCUGAAUUAGAAAAAGAUUUCAUGACUGCUGCUUAACUGAGUAAUAUCUGCCUUCAUUUAAAGUAUUGGCAUGUUUUAUGUAUUAACUAUUAAGACCUGAGUCAAUCGUGAUGCUUUUUGAUAUAUUUUCAGUUUUUUCUUCCAUGACUGUUUUGCUUUUCUCUGUUAUCUGCACGGUCACUCUCAGCCCUGGCAAAUUGCUGUCCCUCUUAAGUCUUGAUCAACAUAUAGCUAUACCAACAUGAGAAGAAUGGGAGGUGGUAGGGUUACAAUUUCUUUUCCAGUAGAGCUACAUGGUGCAAUUCCUCGCACACACCAUUUAUGGACAGACUAAAACUGCUACAGCUUAUUCUGCUGUGAGGGGAUAAACUAUUACAAGGUGAGCACCUCUUAAAUCAUGCACCAGGGAUAGCACAAGCUACUCAUACUCUUCUGACUUCUGCAGAAUAAAAUUGUCUAAUUUUGGUGUGUAAACACGUUCUCCUAAGCCAAAAGCUUAAAAUCUGAUCCCUUGGGUCACUGUGUUUCUCUUCUGCUUUCCUUCACCCCUAUUUCAGGCCACAUAUACGAAGAAGUAUGUAGAUCACGGCAUGCCGCGUAUCGGGUGUCUCUGACAGCUGGCAACACAUUUGCAGUACAUGCAUAGCACCAAUAUUUCCAAAUGCAAGAGGGAGCACAAAGACUUCAAAGGUUUCAUGUUUGCUCACAAAUUAUGCUUUUUCCCCAGGUGGUUUUCUGUGUGUUUUAAAGUUUGAAAAAAUAUUCCUUGUUUUCAAACUGAACACAAGAUACUGCACUGACCAUAUACCAGUGCUUUCUGAAGUCCCGAAGGGCACUCUGGGAACAACAACAGUUUUUGUUCCCAACAGCUAUACAUAUAUAUACAUGUAUAUAUAUAUAUAGUUUUUAUUUUAAUAUUAUAUAUAAUUUGUUGUGGUAUUAUGCAGAUUUGGGUGGGUUUUGUGUUUUUUUUGGUUGGUUGGUGGAUUGGGGUUUUUUUUGUUUUGUUCAGAAGAGGUAGCUAGAGCCAAAGCAAGUAAACCUGACAUGAUAAAAUCUGGAAACUAUAUAGCUAAGGUACUUCCAGUUCCUUUUAUCGAAAACAGUGCCUGUGCUUCCUUAUAUUUCACUAUUGUGUAGUAACAUAUUUCGUCAUAUUGCAAGUUAUUUUUCAAUGUUUUCAACUGUUGUUUUGUGUACCUUUUUAAAGUGACAUCAUUUCAGCUAUUUAUAUGAUGUUUUCUCUGAUGGCAGUAAAUGGAAAUCUCAGCCGAGUUUCUGUCUUCAAUAUGCUAAUUUCUACACAGUCUACAAGCAGACUGCACCUCCAGAAUAAACUUCAGUGGUGGCAGACACAUUGUCUUCAGCAUUGGGUAGCAGAUCACUGUAAUAAACUGCUUUAUACAUAAACUCAUUUAUACAUAUAUUGAUCUGAAAAGAAAAGAACAACCAAAUAAACCUGGCUGGACAUA